rnacentral:rRNA from 1 species
AUUGAACGCUGGCGGCAGGCCUAACACAUGCAAGUCGAGCGGAUGAAGGGAGCUUGCUCCUGGAUUCAGCGGCGGACGGGUGAGUAAUGCCUAGGAAUCUGCCUGGUAGUGGGGGAUAACGUCCGGAAACGGGCGCUAAUACCGCAUAUGUCCUGAGGGAGAAAGUGGGGGAUCUUCGGACCUCAUGCUAUCAGAUGAGCCUAGGUCGGAUUAGCUAGUUGGUGGGGUAAAGGCCUACCAAGGCGACGAUCCGUAACUGGUCUGAGAGGAUGAUCAGUCACACUGGAACUGAGACACGGUCCAGACUCCUACGGGAGGCAGCAGUGGGGAAUAUUGGACAAUGGGCGAAAGCCUGAUCCAGCCAUGCCGCGUGUGUGAAGAAGGUCUUCGGAUUGUAAAGCACUUUAAGUUGGGAGGAAGGGCAGUAAGUUAAUACCUUGCUGUUUUGACGUUACCAACAGAAUAGGCACCGGCUAACUUCGUG